rnacentral:rRNA from 1 species
AUUCGACCUCAAAUCAGGUAGGACUACCCGCUGAACUUAAGCAUAUCAAUAAGGCGGAGGAAA